AUGACUCCUAGCUACUGCUCCUACAAGAUGCGAGAGUCCCUGGAUCGCGCGCUCAGGUACCUCGCGCUCGCGGUGGAUCUCCUUCUCGACAUCAUCGCUCCCGCCUCCCGGUGGAUCAAGACAAUGUGGAAACGUUGGUGCGGCCGGACAGCGGCGGCGCCGUCGUCGGAGGACCUCCCGGUGGAUCUCCUUCUAGAAAUCAUUGCUCGUGCCGACGUCACAGCCAUCGUCCGCUGUGCCGCGACCAGCAGGAUCCUUCGGCGCGGCAUCCUCGACCGGGCCUUCCGGCGCAGCAUCAUGGCCCGCCACCACGGCGGCUUCGAUCGCGCCCUCCUCCUCGGCGUCUCCUACCGGGAACGCGGCGAUGUCACGACCCACCGCGUCAUCCACACCCCAGGGCCAACAAAGCUCGCUGCCCGCCUCGACGAACUUAGCUUCCCGGACCCGCUCAGGGCCGUGGCCUCGCGGGCCGGGGCAGCCUGCUCGUCCUCUGCCGGCACCCCCAAGGCCUUGAUGUCAAGCUGCGGGUGUGCGACGCAUUCACCGGUCAUGUCACCUCACUCCCACCCGCCAGUUUGCCGGACCCGUGCCUCCACGUCGUGCUCAGCAUCGGUGACGCCCGCCGCUCCUUCGAGCUGCUCGUCGCUGACAAGAACAUACAAUUCCACCAGACAUUCUCGUCCAAGAGCGGUCAAUGGAGCGCCGUCCACCAGGUCUCCGUCCCCCACCCAGACAAACAUGUCGGCUCUUACUGCUCUGCCGUCAUCGGUCGCACCGUCUACUGGCCCUGUCAUGUCCACGCCGUCUCCUAUUGGGACCAUGUCCUCGCUCUGGACCUCGACGCGCGAGAGGCGACGAUGA
rnacentral:rRNA from 1 species